CAAAAAUAUGUGAUUCCUCUGCUCAAAUAAAGAAAAUAACCUCAGGACGGGGAACCGGCUCCAGCCACAAACCAACGCUGGCCAAUAUUUGCCUAAGAGUUAAGGAGAAGUUCAGUUCACG